rnacentral:misc_RNA from 1 species
GUAGGUGAACCUGCGGAAGGAUCAUUAACACUUUUUAUCCAAAAUAUAAAAAACUAAACGUGAACUUUUCCCCUCCCUGCAUUUUUCAAAAAAAAAUGUAGGCUAACAUUUUAUUUUUAUUUAAAACCACUUUAAAUUUUUAUAAGUCCUUUGUAAAAAAAAGACUUGACUAACUAAAAAUUUUACUUAAGAUGUCAAAAUUUUGUUGAUCUCUUAAUUAAUAUUUUUUCUAUACGAAAUAAAUAUUACUAUAUAAGAACAACUCUUAGCAAUGGAUAUCUUGGUUCUC